GAGGGCAUUGCUCAGUGGUAGAAUGCGUUCUUAGCAUGCAUGAGGUCCUGGGUUCAAUCCCCAGUACCUCCA
rfam:Camelus ferus unplaced genomic scaffold scaffold669, whole genome shotgun sequence.